UGCCUGUUAAGGAGCUGUAAUAGCCCCAUUCCUUCAGGCUCAUGUGGAUGAAGAGUCAUAUUGGAAGAGAUCUGUAACGGAUGUCACCACUUCAAAGAACUGUAAUCCUGUGUUUGAUACACUCCUCCUGCCCCCAGGACAGUAUCUGUGCGAGAGAAGGGAAGCCAGGGACCCAGAAAUGGUCUGCAGGGAGGUUUUUGCUACUUCAGGAAACCAUAGUUAUUGGCUGAUAGAAAAAUUACAGCAGAAUUACACAAUAAGAGCUAUUUCUGCCCUCUUGUCACUGAAGUAUGAACAAUUUUGUGUCCAGAAUUGGUGGGUUCUUAGUCUCACUGACUUCAAGAAUGAAGUCCCGGACCCUCGCGGUGAGUGUUACAGUUCUUAAAGGCGGCAUGUGCGGACUUUGUUCCUUCUGAUGUUCGGAUGUGUUCAGAGUUUCUUCCUUCUGGUGGGGUUCGUGGUCUCGUUGGGUCAGGAGUGAAGCUGCGGACCUUUACAGUGAGUGUUACAGCUGUUAAGGCAGCGCAUCUGGAGCUGUUCGUUCCUCCCGGUGGGUCCGUGGUCUUGCUGGCUUCAAGAGUGAAGCUGCAGACCUUCACGGUAAGUGUUACAGCUCAUAAAGGCAGUGUGGACCCAAAGAGUGAGCAACAGCAAGAUUUAUUGCAAAGAGCAAAAGUGUGGAAAGUGACCCGAGCGGGUUGCCACUGCUGGCUCCAGCAGCCUGCUUUUAUUCUCUUAUCUGGUCCCACCCACAUCCUGUUGAUUGGUCCAUUUUACAGAGAGCCAAGUGGUCUGUUUUGACAGGGUGCUGAUUGGUGCGUUUACAAUCCCUGAGCUAGACACAAAGGUUCUCCACGUCCCCACUAGAUUAGCUAGAUACAGAGUGUCGACUGGUGCAUUCACAAACCCUGAGCUAGACACAGGAUGCUGAUUGGUGUGUUUACAAACCUUGAGCUAGAUACAGAGUGCCGAUUGGUGUAUUUACAAUCCCUUAGCUAGACAUAAAGGUUC